GAGAAUUUCCCUUUAGCUUAGCAAUGUGCUGAAGCUCUUAAAAGAUUGGAUCUGAGAGAGAGAGAGAGAGACAGACAGAGAGGAGAAAGAGAACUAGAGACAGGGAGGCAGACAGGGAGGGGGGGAGAAGACUUUCUUUUUCUUUCUAGAGGAAUUCUGCCCAGAGUCUGCAGCAGUUGGUAGCAGGCAAGCUUUCUCCUGGGUGUCGCCUGGAAAAGUUGCAAAAUUGCUCUUCACCUGUAAGAACAUGCUCUUUAUCUUCCAGUCUCUUCUUGUCAAUUUGGAAAUCGCAGACAGCCCGGCUCAGGCUGAAGUGCAGUAGCACAAUCUUGGCUCACUGAAGCCUCCACCUCCCAGGUUGGAGCGAUUCUCGUGCCUCAGCCUCCAGAGCAGCUGGGAUUACAGGCUUGCCACAGAAAAUUUCUUAAUGAAAGAGAUGACGAUGUUGAUCUUCCCCCCCCAGAAUGAAGAUACUUCAGGACUUAGUCUGAAAGGGUACCAAGUCGUGAUGGAGAAAAACAUGAAACCGUUGAUUCAGUUCAUUGCAAAUUCAUUCUACCAAACCUUAGCAUGGUUCUUGGCUGCUGCUCGGUAGUCCUUGUAUUCAUCUCUUGGAGACUCACUAAUUAGUUUCCUACACCUGUGGUCUAAAAGCCUUCUUCAUAUUUUUAAAACUCACGUUUGAUCUCUCCUUCCCCUUGCACUCAGAAGAUGAUCUUGCUUUCUGCUUUACUGAGAAGUUGAAGGUCAUUUGCAAUCUCUUUCAACUUUCUACUCCCAUCCUAUUUUCUAUUUUCCUUCAUCUCUCGCUUCCUCUGCUCUUUUGUUUCAGGGGAAGAAACAACCCUCUUAUUUCUAGGUUGAACCCAACUUCUACAGAACUUUUUUUCUGUAAAUAGUACGUUUUUUUCUUUUCUUUUCUGUUUUUUUUUGAGACAGAGUCUC